rnacentral:tRNA from 1 species
GGAGAGGUCGCAUAGUGGACUAGUGCGGCGCACUCGAAAUGCGCUGUCCGGGGUUACUCGGACCGUGGGUUCGAAUCCCACCCUCUCCGCCA